ACUUCCGGCCUGCGUCCGGAGGGGAGGGGAGGCCGUCGCCGCUGGCUCCGCCCACCGCGUGGUCCAAGGACCACCACCCGCCACCGCCGCGCGAGCGUACUAUUGCGGCCGCCCUCUGCUGCGCCUGAAGAGAGAGGCGACUCUACAAGCCUCACAGCAUGCACUGUUACUAAAAAGACGAUGCGUCCUCCUGGACCUGAGAUCUGUGUGAUCGUGGGAAAGCGACGAAAAACGAACAAAGGAACAGUAAAUGGAGUAACUUGGCUAGAAUAUGGCAGUAACUACAAGGCAUGUUCUGCUCUGGCACGAAGACAACCCACCUGAGGCACCAGACACAUGAGUGAAGCCAUCUUGGACAUCCCAGUCACAGCCAAACUCACUCCUGAGUGCAUCUGCAUGAUGAACCCAGCAAUCCCCACCAUGGAGCAAAGGAUCCAUCCAGUCAACCCAAAGAAUCGUGAAAAAUAAUAAAUUGUUGUUUUAAAGUUCUUCAGUUUGGGAAUAGCUUGUUAUGCAACAAUACAUAAUUAAUACACUGGUCUCCCACUUUCAAGUUUGAUUAACUUUCAGCUAUUUUUCACAUAGCAGGCAGAGUGAUUCCAUUAAAACAUAUAUCAGAUAAUGUCACUGCACUAAGUAAACUCUACAAGGACUCUCAUCUCCCUCAGAGUAAAGGUCACAGUUGUUACAAGGCCCUACGUAAUGUGGCCCUCACCACCACUCCAUUACCUUUUUCUUAUCUACUAUUUGCUAACUUUGCUUUGUCCUCUUUUCUGUUCUGAAACAGGCUAGGCAUGGUCCUGCCUCAAGGCCUUUGCACCACCUACUCUGUCUGCUUGGAUUGUUCUUCCCACAGAUUUCUUGCUCCCUUCUUCCUUCAUGAAGAAAUGUCAUGAAAUGUCCUUCCUUCAUGAAAUGUCACCUUCUCAUUUGAGGCCUUCUGUAGUACCCCAAAGAAUGGUCCCCAAAGAUGUCCACAUCCUUAUGCCCAGAACCUGUGAAUGUGUUAUCUUAAUGGCAAAAGUGACUUUGCAAAUGUGAUUAUAUUUAAGGAUCUUAAGGAGGAGAUUAUCCUGGAUUAUCCAGGAGGGCCCAAUGUAAUCACAAGGGCCCUUAUAAGUGAAAGGGGGAGGCAACAGAGAGAAGGAGAUGUCAUAAUGAAAACAGAUCCAAGUGAUGAGAUUGCUGGCUGGGGUGGAGGUGGAGGGGGGUACAAUCCAAGGAAUGCAAGAAGCCUCUAAAAGCUAGGAAAUGUCAGGACACAAAUUCUCCCCUAGAACCUGAGGAAGAAACCCAGGUUUAUGGACACUGAUUUUAACCCAAUAAGUCCCUUUUCUGACUGCUGACCUCCAAAACUGUAAGAUAAUAAAUUUGUGUUAUUUUAAGCCAACUGAGUUUGAGAUAAUUUAGUUAUGGCAGCAAUAGGAAACUAGCACACCUUCCUAGCCAUCCUAUCUAAAAUGGCAACCCAUGUCCUUCCUGGCACUUCCUAUCUCCCUUCCAUGUUUUUUUUAAAUCAUAUAUACAAUAUAUUUUACUGUUUUACCUAUUGUCUUUUCCACCAGAAAGUAAACUCCACGUAAAUAAGGAUUGUCUGUUUUAUUCUUUGCAGUAUCUCCACUGCCUAGGAUAGCAUCUGCACAUACU
rnacentral:lncRNA from 1 species